AUACAGAGGGUGCAAGCGUUAAUCGGAUUUACUGGGCGUAAAGGGCGCGUAGGCGGCCCAAAAAGUCUCCGGUGAAAUCUCCCGGCUUAACUGGGAGCGGUCCGGGGAAACUUUUGGGCUUGAGGACAGCAGAGGAGAGUGGAAUUCCCGGUGUAGUGGUGAAAUGCGUAGAUAUCGGGAGGAACACCAGUGGCGAAGGCGGCUCUCUGGGCUUUUCCUGACGCUGAGGCUCGAAAGCGUGGGUAGCAAACCGGAUUAGAUACCCCAGUAGUCC
rnacentral:rRNA from 1 species